rnacentral:lncRNA from 1 species
GGGGGAAGGGCUCUGAAGGAGAACCCAGUUGACUUGCCUGCCACAGAGCAAAAGGAGAAUUGCUUGGAUUGCUACAUGGACCCCCUGAGACUAUCAUUAUUACCUCCUAGGGCCAGGAAGCCAGUGUGUCCUCCGUCUCUGUGCAGCUCCGUCAUUACCAUAGGGGACUUGGUUUUAGACUCUGAUGAGGAAGAAAAUGGCCAGGGGGAAGGAAAGGUGAGUGGGAAGGAGCAGAAAGCUGGGAAAGGGGAUGGGUAGAACAAGACUGAGAAAUCCACAUGCUUCAGAAUUCAGAGGGUUCAGGGAAUGGUUUCGGAUAGUAGGCUCUCCCUGCUCCCUUCUCUACAGGAAUCUCUGGAAAACUAUCAGAAGACAAAGUUUGACACCUUGAUACCCACUCUCUGUGAAUACCUACCCCCUUCUGGCCACGGUGCCAUACCUGUUUCUUCCUGUGACUGUAGAGACAGUUCUAGACCUUUGUGAUAGAACUAAAAUGCUCUCUGUACUCUAGUCUCCUGCCUCCUCAGCUCUGCAAGUAGUUUAGUAGGAAUGAAGUGGAAGUCCAGGCUUGGAUUGCCUAACUACACUGCUAAAAAUAUUUGUAAUCCUUAAUAAUUAAACUUUGGAUUUGUUAAAA